CCUACGGGUGGCAGCAGUGAGGAAUAUUGGUCAAUGGACGAGAGUCUGAACCAGCCAAGUAGCGUGAAGGAUGACUGCCCUACGGGUUGUAAACUUCUUUUAUAUAGGAAUAAAAUGUUCCACGUGUGGGUUUUUGUAUGUACCAUAUGAAUAAGGAUCGGCUAACUCCGUGCCAGCAGCCGCGGUAAUACGGAGGAUCCGAGCGUUAUCCGGAUUUAUUGGGUUUAAAGGGAGCGUAGGUGGGUUGUUAAGUCAGUUGUGAAAGUUUGCGGCUCAACCGUAAAAUUGCAGUUGAUACUGGCAGUCUUGAGUACAGUAGAGGUGGGCGGAAUUCGUGGUGUAGCGGUGAAAUGCUUAGAUAUCACGAAGAACUCCGAUUGCGAAGGCAGCUCACUGGACUGCAACUGACACUGAGGCUCGAAAGUGUGGGUAUCAAACAGGAUUAGAUACCCUGGUAGUC
rnacentral:rRNA from 1 species